ACUUUACAUCGUAAUCAAAAAUAGGUCUUCUUUUGCGCAUAAGACACGCAACAAUAUUUAUUCAACACAACACUUCGUCAUAGAAAAACUUUUAACAAUUUUUAUAGUACCAUGUUCUUGACCAAAAACGCUUGUCUAUAACGAAAUGAAAAAUACACAACAGGCAACAGGAUAUGCUACUGAAACCUCUUAAGUAUGUUCUUUUAAUUUUAAACCCGUUGACACUAUAGAGUUUUUGUCACGAAAUACAAUUGUUGUAUGAAUGUUGUUGAUUUUUCUUUCGUCGCUAUAUGUAACAACACACUUAAUGUCUGUGUGCAAUAUUCGGGUCAUUCUUUAUAGCAAAAAAAUUCCAUCUUGAUCAACUUUUUCACUGUCAAAGUUUCCAGAUAUGAGGUCAUUAGGUGAACUUUUGGUACAAAAAACAUAAGGAAAACUAAUUUGCAAUUCACCUAAUGACAUCCGGAAACUUUGACAGUGAAAAAGUUGAUCAAGAUGGGAUUUUUUAUUAUAAAGAUAUAUUACAUUUCUUCUUCAAAUGACCCAAAUAUUACACAAACCAAAAAUCAACUUUGGGGUUACUUCACACUUUAACGUCUGUAUGUUUCCUCAGAAAUAGUUUCCCUAAGAAUCUCAAACGUUCAGAAAGAAACUCAAGAAACAUGGUACGAUAUACUACUUUAGUUCAGUAAACGUUUUUAUCACUGGCUAGGCCAUCUCGAAAUCGCAAUGCAUUCUGGUUUAUCCAGGGUUAUUGGCUUUUGGGUGGGAUUUUUUGCUCUGUUGCAUAAAUGCUAAGGGAAGGUCAUUAUUUAUGGCGAAGAGAAAAGGGUUGGGUAAACAAAAUUUUGAGUG